UUGACCUCAAAUCAGGUAGGAAUAAAACCCGCUGAAGUCUUAAUCAUAUC
rnacentral:rRNA from 1 species